rnacentral:rRNA from 1 species
AGGGUGAACGCUGGCGGCGUGCCUAAACAUGCAAGUCGAGCGGUGCAGUUUGAAGCUUCGGUGGAAAGCUGCAUAGCGGCGGACGGGUGAGGAAAACGUAGGAACGUGCCCCUUGGAGUUGGAUAGCCACGGGAAACUGUGGGUAAACCGACAUAGACUCGAGAGAGUAAAGGCCGAAAGGCGCCAAGGGAGCGGCCUGCGGCCCAUCAGGUAGUUGGUAGUGUAAAGGACUACCAAGCCGACGACGGGUAGCCGGUCUGAGAGGAUGGCCGGCCACAAGGGCACUGAGAGACGGGCCCUACUCCUACGGGAGGCAGCAGUGGGGGAUUUUGGACAAUGGGCGAAAGCCUGAUCCAGCGACGCCGCGUGGAGGACGAAGCCCUUCGGGGUGUAAACUCCCUUUCUCAGGGAAAAAGGAUGAUGGUACCUGAGGAAUAAGCCCCGGCUAACUACGUG